AUGAACGCUAGCGGCAGGCCUAAUACAUGCAAGUCGAACGGGGUGUAGCAGCAAUGCUUCACUUAGUGGCGCACGGGUGCGUAACGCGUAUGCAACCUACCUUUUCCAGGGGGAUAGCCUUCCGAAAGGGAGAUUAACACCGCAUAACAUCAUUGGAUGGCAUCGUCUGAUGAUUAAAUCUACGGAGGGAAAAGAUGGGCAUGCGUCCGAUUAGCUAGUUGGCGGGGGGGGUAGAGGCCCACCAAGGCGACGAUCGGUCGGGGACCUGAGAGGACGACCAGCCACACCGGAACUGAGACACGGUCCGGACUCCUACGGGAGGCAGCAGUGGGGAAUAUUGGACAAUGGGGGAAACCCUGAUCCAGCGACGCCGCGUGGGUGAAGAAGGCCUGCGGGUUGUAAAGCCCUUUCGGUGGGGAAGAAAAGCCUCGACCUAACACGUCGGGGUCUUGACGUAACCCAUAGAAGAAGCACCGGCUAACUCUGUGCCAGCAGCCGCGGUAAUACAGAGGGUGCGAGCGUUAAUCGGAAUUACUGGGCGUAAAGCGCGCGUAGGCGGCUUUGCAAGUCGAUUGUGAAAUCCCCGGGCUUAACCUGGGAACUGCAUUCGAGACUGCAUUGCUAGAGUAUGGGAGAGGGAGGUGGAAUUUCCGGUGUGUAGCGGGUGAAAUGCGUAGAUAUCGGAAGGAACAUCAGUGGCGAAAGCGACCUCCUGGACCAAUACUGACGCUCAUGUGCGAAAGCGUGGGGAGCAAACAGGAUUAGAUACCCUGGUAGUCCACGCCAUAAACGAUGAGAACUGGAUGUCGGAAGGAUUUGCCUUUCGGUGUCGUAGCUAACGCGUUAAGUUCUCCGCCUGGGGAGUACGGCCGCAAGGUUGAUAACUCAAAGGAAUUGACGGGGACCCGCACAAGCGGUGGAGCAUGUGGUUUAAUUCGAUGCAACGCGAAGAACCUUACCUGGUCUUGACAUCCCAGGAAUCCUGCAGAGAUGCGGGAGUGCCUUCGGGAACCUGGAGACAGGUGCUGCAUGGCUGUCGUCAGCUCGUGUCGUGAGAUGUUGGGUUAAGUCCCGCAACGAGCGCAACCCUUGCCCUUAGUUGCCAGCAUUAAGUUGGGAACUCUAAGGGGACCGCCGGGUGACAAACCGGAGGAAGGUGGGGAUGACGUCAAGUCAUCAUGGCCCUUAUGACCAGGGCUACACACGUGCUACAAUGGUCGGUACAGAGGGUCGCCAACCCGCGAGGGGGAGCCAAUCCCAGAAAAACCGAUCGUAGUCCGGAUCGCAGUCUGCAACUCGACUGCGUGAAGUCGGAAUCGCUAGUAAUCGCGAAUCAGCCAUGUCGCGGUGAAUACGUUCCCGGGUCUUGUACACACCGCCCGUCACACCAUGGGAGUUGAUUGCACCAGAAGUAGGUAGGCUAACCGCAAGGGGGCCGCUUACCACGGUACGCUUCAUGACUGGGGUG
rnacentral:rRNA from 1 species